GCCGCCAUAGCUCAGUCGGUUAGAACGUGGGUCUAAUAAGCCCAAGGUCGCAGGUUCGACCCCUGCUGGCGGCA
rnacentral:tRNA from 1 species